rnacentral:rRNA from 1 species
UACGGAGGAUGCAAGCGUUAUCCGGAUUUCUUGGGUUUAAAGGGUGCGCAGGUUGUUUGAUAAGUCAGUGGUGAAAGUCUGUCGCUUAACGGUAGGAUUGCCAUUGAUACUGUUGGACUUGAAUAUGGAUGAGGUAGGCGGAAUGUGUAGUGUAGCGGUGAAAUGCAUAGAUAUUACACAGAACACCGAUUGCGAAGGCAGCUUACUAAUCCAUCAUUGACGCUGAGGCACGAAAGCGUGGGGAUCAAACA